GCCGCCGCCGCAGCAGCCGCAGCCGCCGCCACCGCCCCUGCCGCCGCCCGUCCAGAACAGGCUGAGCGGCGGCUCGCAUUCGUCCAACCAGGAGCGGCAGCGCGCCCGCCUGCGGGACGAGAUGACCCAGCUCUCCGAGGUCAUGGACAACCUGGCGCCCUACUGCGAGCCGCCGGAUGUGACGCACAACACGGGCAGCGGGCGCAGCUCGCGCUACCAGCCGCCGCACAUGGCCUCAGUGCGGGUCAACAGCAGCACCAGCAUCACGGCCGCUGGACGAGGCGC